UACGUAGGGUGCAAGCGUUUGUCCGGAAUUAUUGGGCGUAAAGAGCUCGUAGGCGGUUUGUCGCGUCUGCCGUGAAAAUCCGGGGCUCAACCCCGGACUUGCAGCGGGUACGGGCAGACUAGAGUGUGGUAGGGGAGACUGGAAUUCCUGGUGUAGCGGUGAAAUGCGCAGAUAUCAGGAGGAAUACCGAUGGCGAAGGCAGGUCUCUGGGCUGAUACUGACGCUCAUGCACGAAAGCGUGGGGAGCAAACAGG
rnacentral:rRNA from 1 species